rnacentral:rRNA from 1 species
UACGUAGGGUGCGAGCGUUGUCCGGAUUUAUUGGGCGUAAAGGGCUCGUAGGCGGCGUGUCGCGUCGGGAGUGAAAGCCCGCUGCUUAACGGCGGGUUGGCUUCCGGUACGGGCAUCGCUGGAGUGCGGCAGGGGAGACUGGAAUUCCUGGUGUAGCGGUGGAAUGCGCAGAUAUCAGGAGAACACCGGUGGCGAAGGCGGGUCUC